rfam:Callithrix jacchus chromosome 9, whole genome shotgun sequence
GGAUGUGAGGACGAUCUGGCUGCAACAUCUGUCACCUCACUGAUUGACAGGGUUGAUUCGGCUGAUCUGGCUGGCGACGCAGGUGCUCCCUUCCUCCCUCACCACUCCAUGUACGUCCCUCCCAAAACUGCAUGUUUAGUGGAAAAGAACAAUCAUUCCGGAUAGAGAAGGACCGGUCUUUGGUCAAGGGUAUACGAGUAGCUGCACUUCCCUGCUGGAACCUCCAAACAAGCUCUCAGUAUAUAUAAAGGACUUAGAACUCUCCCCAUCACAGAGUGAGCAUUAUGUACUAGUUGCUGGUACUGUUG